UAGCAUGCACCGGGCGACGCUGAGAGUUCCGGGGCGCAGUUUAGAGUGUUGUAAUCCUUAGAUCUCGGGAAAGAAGAGGAUGAUUGGAGGAUUAAGGGCAGUUUGAAUCUGCCUUAGAAAAGGAAUAAACAAAAGAUUCCCGAAGAUCAGAUGGACAGGGAUCCUGGCAGUCGGAAGCCAAAGAAUGCUAAGCGCUACAGCUCAGAUGGAAAAGAUGGAAAAGUAUGCUGGCAAUAGGAACCAGGAAAUACGGAGUGUUAUAGUCACGAUGAAGGAAUAUUCUGGCAGUUGGGAGCCAAGGAACAACACAGGUCAUACUAAAGAAGUUCUCACCCAAACCUCAUUAAAGAGAUUUAUUGGGAGGGAAGAAUCCAGAAGAGUGGCCGCCUCUGCCAGGGUGGAAUAAAAUGGCAGCAUCAAACUGAACAGCAACCGAGGAGCUAAACACUACUCCAGGUCACCUCUGGACCUGUGGAGGAAAGUUCCACGGGAUAAGCAGAUCCUACGAGGCACAGUGGGCUCAGAACAACAAUACAUUGACACCUUCCCUUAAGCCUCAAGAACCAUUCUCCUGUAACAAGCUGCCAUCUGUCUCUGAGACAUGUGUCCAUGUGUCCUUUUUUUUUUUUUAGAUCAAUAAAGAGUGUGUGCUUCUUUAUU